AGCGAACGCUGGCGGCAGGCCUAACACAUGCAAGUCGAACGAACCCUUCGGGGUUAGUGGCGGACGGGUGAGUAACACGUGGGAACGUGCCUUUAUGUUCGGAAUAACUCAGGGAAACUUGUGCUAAUACCGAAUGUGCCCUUCGGGGGAAAGAUUUAUCGCCUUUAGAGCGGCCCGCGUCUGAUUAGCUAGCUGGUGAGGUAAUAGCUCACCAAGGCUAUGAUCAGUAGCUGGUCUGGGAGGAUGACAAGCUACAUUGGGACUGAGACACGGACGAAUCUCCUGCGAGAGGCAGCAGUGGGGAAUCUUGCGCAAUUAGCAAAAGCCUGACGCAGCCAUGCCGCGUGGAUGAUGAAGGUCUUAGGAUUGUAAAAUCCUUUCACCGGUGAAGAUAAUGACUGUAGCCGGAGAAGAAGCCCCGGCUAACUUCGUGCCAGCCGCCGCAGUAAGAC
rnacentral:rRNA from 1 species